rnacentral:rRNA from 1 species
AAAGCGUGCGCAGGCGGUUUUGUAAGUUUGUCGUGAAAUCCCCGGGCUCAACCUGGGAAUGGCGAUGAAGACUGCAAGGCUAGAGUUUGGCAGAGGGGGGUAGAAUUCCACGUGUAGCAGUGAAAUGCGUAGAUAUGUGGAGGAACACCGAUGGCGAAGGCAGCCCCCUGGGUCAAAACUGACGCUCAUGCACGAAAGCGUGGGGAGCAAACAGGAUUAGAUACCCGUGU